AUUGAACGCUGGCGGCAGGCCUAACACAUGCAAGUCGAGCGGAUGAAGAGAGCUUGCUCUCUGAUUCAGCGGCGGACGGGUGAGUAAUGCCUAGGAAUCUGCCUGGUAGUGGGGGACAACGUUUCGAAAGGAACGCUAAUACCGCAUACGUCCUACGGGAGAAAGUGGGGGAUCUUCGGACCUCACGCUAUCAGAUGAGCCUAGGUACGAUUAGCUAGUUGGUGAGGUAAAGGCUCACCAAGGCGACGAUCGUUAACUGGUCUGAGAGGAUGAUCAGUCACACUGGAACUGAGACACGGUCCAGAAUCCUACGGGAGGCAGCAGUGGGGAAUAUUGGACAAUGGGCGAAAGCCUGAUCCAGCCAGGCCGCGUGUGUGAAGAAGGUCUUCGGAUUGUAAAGCACUUUAAGUUGGGAGGAAGGGCAAUAAGUUAAUACCUUGCUGUUUUGACGUUACCGACAGAAUAAGCACCGGCUAACUUCGUGCCAGCAGCCGCCGCCG
rnacentral:rRNA from 1 species